rnacentral:rRNA from 1 species
UACGUAGGGCGCGAGCGUUGUCCGGAUUUAUUGGGCGUAAAGAGCUCGUAGGCGGCUUGUCGCGUCGACCGUGAAAACUUGGGGCUCAACCCCAAGCCUGCGGUCGAUACGGGCAGGCUAGAGUUCGGUAGGGGAGACUGGAAUUCCUGGUGUAGCGGUGAAAUGCGCAGAUAUCCGAAGGAACACCGGUGGCGAAGGCGGCUUCCUGGACCGACACUGACGCUGAGGCGCGAAAGCUAGGGGAGCAAACGGG